rnacentral:rRNA from 1 species
GACAGAGGGUGCAAACGUUGCUCGGAAUCACUGGGCGUAAAGGGCGUGUAGGCGGGAAAGUAAGUCGGGCGUGAAAUCCCUAGGCUCAACCCUAGGAACUGCACUCGAAACUACUUUUCUUGAGUGCCGGAGAGGAAAGCGGAAUUCCUGGUGUAGAGGUGAAAUUCGUAGAUAUCAGGAGGAACACCAGUGGCGAAGGCGGCUUUCUGGACGGUAACUGACGCUGAGACGCGAAAGCGUGGGGGAGCAAACAGGG